rfam:Brassica oleracea var. oleracea cultivar TO1000 chromosome C4, whole genome shotgun sequence
GGAAUAUAAGAAACCGUCUUUUAAAUUUUAACUAAAAAAAUUAAAAACCGAUUCUUAAAUAUUUAUUUAAGAGGCGGUUCUUAACUUUUUUAAUUAAAAUUUAAAAUACGGUUUUUUAUAUUCC